AUAUCCAUGUGUGACUGAAGGUCAGACGUGAGCAUGCUGAAAAACUCAUGAAGCUGCAGAACCAGAGGGGCGGUCACAUAUUUUUGCAGGACAUCAAGAAACCAGAUUGUGGUGAUUGGGAGAAUGGGUUGACAGCAAUGGAGUGUGCCUUGCACCUGGAAAAGAAUGUGAACCGGUCACUCCUUGAUCUGCACAAGCCGGCAACUGACAAAAAUGACCCUCAUUUGUGUGACUUCCAA